rnacentral:rRNA from 1 species
AGUGGCGCACGGGUGAGUAACGCGUGGGAACAUACCUUAGAGUUCGGAAUAACAGCGGGAAACUGCUGCUAAUACCGAAUAUUCUCUCCGGAGGAAAGAUUUAUCGCUCUAAGAUUGGCCCACGUCAGAUUAGCUAGUUGGUGAGGUAAUGGCUCACCAAGGCUCCGAUCUGUAGCUGGUCUGAGAGGACGACCAGCCACACUGGAACUGAGACACGGUCCAGACUCCUACGGGAGGCAGCAGUGGGGAAUAUUGGACAAUGGGCGAAAGCCUGAUCCAGCCAUGCCGCGUGAGUGAUGAAGGCCUUAGGGUUGUAAAGCUCUUUUGUCAGGGAAGAUAAUGACGGUACCUGAAGAAUAAGCACCGGCUAACUUCGUGCCAGCAGCCGCGGUAAUACGAAGGGUGCUAGCGUUGUUCGGAAUUACUGGGCGUAAAGCGCGCGUAGGCGGUGAUACAAGUCAGAGGUGAAAUCCCAGGGCUCAACCCUGGAACUGCCUUUGAAACUGUAUUGCUGGAGUGUGUGAGGGGAUAGCGGAAUUGCUAAUGUAGAGGUGAAAUUCGUAGAUAUUAGCAGGAACACCGGUGGCGAAGGCGGCUAUCUGGCACACAACUGACGCUGAGGCGCGAAAGCGUGGGGAUCAAACAGGAUUAGAUACCCUGGUAGUCCACGCUGUAAACGAUGAGUGCUAGCCGUUGGGCCCGUAGGGUUCAGUGGCGCCGCUAACGCAUUAAGCACUCCGCCUGGGGAGUACGGUCGCAAGAUUAAAACUCAAAGGAAUUGACGGGGACCCGCACAAGCGGUGGAGCAUGUGGUUUAAUUCGAGGCAACGCGAAGAACCUUACCAGG